CGAAACUUAAACAAACUCUUCAUUCAAGAAGCAGAGCAAACCGUCAACUCAAUAUAGCAGAGAAUCAAACAAUCAUCUGAAGGAGGCGAGAACAAUAAUGGUGCUAGAGGUGCUCAACCUAUUCACACCAUGAGAGACUAUGCCAUGCCAUCAUUGAAAGACACAAGUCCGAGCAUUUUGAGACAUGUUGUUCAAGCUUAACAACUUUGAGAUCAAGCCAGCAAUAUCUAUAGUUGAUCCAACAGACUUGUCAAUUUGGAGGAUUGCCUAGUGAAGAUCCACACCAAC
rnacentral:lncRNA from 1 species